GAUGAACGCUGGCGGCGUGCCUAAUACAUGCAAGUCGAGCGAACAGACGAGGAGCUUGCUCCUCUGACGUUAGCGGCGGACGGGUGAGUAACACGUGGAUAACCUACCUAUAAGACCGGGAUAACUUCGGGAAACCGGAGCUAAUACCGGAUAAUAUAUUGAACCGCAUGGUUCAAUAGUGAAAGACGGUUUUGCUGUCACUUAUAGAUGGAUCCGCGCCGCAUUAGCUAGUUGGUAAGGUAACGGCUUACCAAGGCAACGAUGCGUAGCCGACCUGAGAGGGUGAUCGGCCACACUGGAACUGAGACACGGUCCAGACUCCUACGGGAGGCAGCAGUAGGGAAUCUUCCGCAAUGGGCGAAAGCCUGACGGAGCAACGCCGCGUGAGUGAUGAAGGUCUUCGGAUCGUAAAACUCUGUUAUUAGGGAAGAACAAAUGUGUAAGUAGCUAUGCACGUCUUGACGGUACCUAAUCAGAAAGCCACGGCUAACUACGUG
rnacentral:rRNA from 1 species